GGAAGUGCCAUAGUUCAGUGGCAGAACAUCUGCUUUGCCCAUAGAAGGUCCCAGUUUUGAUCACUGGCACCUCAA